rnacentral:rRNA from 1 species
CCNAUACAUACUCAGCGGGCGAACGGGUGAGUAACACGUGGGUAAUCUUCCUCCGAGUCUGGGAUAACUUUCCGAAAGGGGAGCUAAUACUGGAUAGUCCCGAGAGGUCAUAGGAUCUUGCGGGUAACCAUUUAUUGCUCGGAGAUGAGCCCGCGCCCUAUUAUCUAGUUGAGUAACGUAAUGGCUCUCCCCUGCCACAAUCGUUACCCGGCCUCAGAGGGUGAUCNGCCACGUUGGAACUGACACACCGCCCCUACUCCUUGCUAAGGCACCUGAUUUGAAUCUUGCUCACUGGCGGCAAA